rnacentral:rRNA from 1 species
GACGAACGCUGGCGGCGUGCCUAAUACAUGCAAGUCGAGCGGACCUUUCGGGGUCAGCGGCGGACGGGUGAGUAACACGUGGGCAAUCUGCCCGAUACUCUGGGAUAACGCUUGGAAACGAGUGCUAAUACCGGAUGGUCUUCUUGGCCGCAUGGCCGAGAAGGAAAAGACGCGUUCGCGUCGGUGUCGGAUGAGCCCGCGGCGCAUUAGCUAGUUGGUGAGGUAACGGCCCACCNAAGGCGACGAUGCGUAGCCGACCUGAGAGGGUGACCGGCCACACUGGGACUGAGACACGGCCCAGACUCCUACGGGAGGCAGCAGUAGGGAAUCUUCCACAAUGGGCGAAAGCCUGAUGGAGCAACGCCGCGUGAGUGAUGAAGGCCUUCGGGUUGUAAAACUCUGUCAUUCGGGACGAACCGGAGUCUGAGGAAAUGCAGACUCUCUGACGGUACCGGAGGAGGAAGCCCCGGCUAACUACGUGCCAGCAGCCGCGGUAAUACGUANGGGGCAAGCGUUGUCCGGAUUCACUGGGCGUAAAGCGCGCGCAGGCGGUGAUGUAAGUCUGANGUGAAAACCCGAAGCUCAACUUCGGGACUGCCUUGGAUACUGCGUCACUUGAGGAUAGGAGAGGCAAGGGGAAUUCCACGUGUAGCGGUGAAAUGCGUAGAGAUGUGGAGGAACACCUGUGGCGAAGGCGCCUUGCUGGCCUAUUUCUGACGCUGAGGCGCGAAAGCGUGGGGAGCAAACAGGAUUAGAUACCCUGGUAGUCCACGCUGUAAACGAUGAGUGCUAGGUGUAGGUGGGCUCAUACCCAUCUGUGCCGAAGCUAAUGCAUUAAGCACUCCGCCUGGGGAGUACGGUCGCAAGACUGAAACUCAAAGGAAUUGACGGGGGCCCGCACAAGCAGUGGAGCAUGUGGUUUAAUUCGAAGCAACGCGAAGAACCUUACCAGGACUUGACAUCCCAUAGACCAGUCUAGAGAUAGACUCUCCCUUCGGGGCUGUGGUGACAGGUGGUGCAUGGUUGUCGUCAGCUCGUGUCGUGAGAUGUUGGGUUAAGUCCCGCAACGAGCGCAACCCUUACUUUGUGUUGCCAGCAUUCAGUUGGGCACUCACAAGGGACUGCCGCCGAUAAGGCGGAGGAAGGUGGGGAUGACGUCAAAUCAUCAUGCCCCUUAUGUCCUGGGCUACACACGUGCUACAAUGGGCGGUACAACGGGAUGCGAAGCCGCGAGGUGGAGCCAAACCCUGAAAACCGUUCGUAGUUCGGAUUGUAGGCUGCAACUCGCCUACAUGAAGCCGGAAUUGCUAGUAAUCGCGGAUCAGCAUGCCGCGGUGAAUCCGUUCCCGGGCCUUGUACACACCGCCCGUCACACCACGAGAAUGGGCAACACCCGAAGUCGGUGGGGUAACCUUUACGGGAGCUAGCCGCCGAAGGUGGGGCCUGUGAUUGGGGUG